rnacentral:rRNA from 1 species
GAGGAUGCGUGCGUUAUCCGGAUUUAUUGGGUUUAAAGGGUGCGUAGGCGGGCCUUCAGGCCGGCGGUAAAAUUGCGGGGCUCAACCCCGCCGAGCCGUCGGAACCGGAGGCCUCGAGUGCCGGAGAAGUAUGCGGAAUGCGUGGUGUAGCGGUGAAAUGCAUAGAUAUCACGCAGAACCCCGAUUGCGAAGGCAGCAUACCGGCCGGCCACUGACGCUGAGGCACGAAAGCGCGGGGAUCGAA